rnacentral:rRNA from 1 species
ACUCCUACGGGAGGCAGCAGUGGGGAAUAUUGGACAAUGGGGGCAACCCUGAUCCAGCCAUGCCGCGUGUGUGAAGAAGGCCUUCGGGUUGUAAAGCACUUUUGUCCGGAAAGAAAUUGCUCUGGCUAAUACCUGGGGUAGAUGACGGUACCGGAAGAAUAAGCACCGGCUAACUACGUGCCAGCAGCCGCGGUAAUACGUAGGGUGCGAGCGUUAAUCGGAAUUACUGGGCGUAAAGCGUGCGCAGGCGGUUUUGUAAGACAGGCGUGAAAUCCCCGGGCUCAACCUGGGAAUUGCGCUUGUGACUGCAAGGCUAGAGUGCGGCAGAGGGGGAUGGAAUUCCGCGUGUAGCAGUGAAAUGCGUAGAUAUGCGGAGGAACACCGAUGGCGAAGGCAAUCCCCUGGGCCUGCACUGACGCUCAUGCACGAAAGCGUGGGGAGCAAACAGGAUUAGAUACCCUGGUAGUCCACGCCCUAAACGAUGUCAACUGGUUGUUGGGUCUUGACUGACUCAGUAACGAAGCUAACGCGUGAAGUUGACCGCCUGGGGAGUACGGCCGCAAGGUUGAAACUUAAAGGAAUUGACGG